rnacentral:rRNA from 1 species
CCUUCGGGGGCUAGCGGCGGACGGGUGAGUAACACGUAGGCAACCUGCCUGUAAGACCGGGAUAACAUAGGGAAACUUAUGCUAAUACCGGAUAGAGUGUCUCCUCGCAUGAGGAGAUACGGAAAGAUGGCGCAAGCUAUUACUUGCAGAUGGGCCUGCGGCGCAUUAGCUGGUUGGUGGGGUAACGGCCUACCAAGGCGACGAUGCGUAGCCGACCUGAGAGGGUGACCGGCCACACUGGGACUGAGACACGGCCCAGGCUCCUACGGGAGGCAGCAGUAGGGAAUUUUCCACAAUGGACGAAAGUCUGAUGGAGCAACGCCGCGUGAACGAUGAAGGUCUUCGGAUUGUAAAGUUCUGUUGUCAGGGAC